UACGGAGGGUGCAAGCGUUAUCCGGAAUCAUUGGGUUUAAAGGGUCCGCAGGCGGACCUAUAAGUCAGUGGUGAAAGCCCGUUGCUCAACAACGGAACUGCCAUUGAUACUGUAGGUCUUGAAUUCGGUCGAAGUGGGCGGAAUGUGACAUGUAGCGGUGAAAUGCUUAGAUAUGUCACAGAACACCGAUAGCGAAGGCAGCUCACUAGGCCUGGAUUGACGCUCAUGGACGAAAGCGUGGGGAGCAAACAGG
rnacentral:rRNA from 1 species